rnacentral:lncRNA from 1 species
GGGAACGCCGUGGCUGUAGCUGCCGCCUCAGGUUUGUGGCUGUCGCCCUUGGCAAAGUUGAAGGGUGGGCUUCGUCCCCCUACCCCUCCCCGGGCCUACCCCGGGGCCCCCGGCCCGCUUGGGGAAGGCCCCGGCUCGGCCCGGCCCCGCCCCUGAUCCUCCAGGAAAGCGAGAUGGCGGCACUGGAAAGCCGUUCCCUUUCUCAGCUUCCCGGUGGCUGGAAUGUUCGGCCCAGUAAGAGCCGGGUCCCUGCUGAGGAUGCGCAGCCGCUUAAGGUCGAGAAGCGCUUCAGAAACGGUGCCGGAGCGUCGUCGCCAGAGGUGGGGAGAGAAGGGGGAAACAAAAGACUGAAGACCAGCGUGCGCCAGAUUAUGCAGAGGAAUGCGUGCAGCUCUGCCCUGGCAGAAGGAUGGGAAGGAGAGUUUGGCCCAAGGGACAAACCCAGACUCCCCACAUCACUGCAGUGUCAAACUCAGGCGUGCCCUUCGCUCUCCACAGCUCCUGUGCAGUGAGCAGUCCCAGUCUCAACAGGAGGAGGGAGGAUCUCCUGAGAAAGCAGCCGGGACAGAAGAAGAACGGGAUAGAAAAAGAAACAUCUUGUUACCAGCCUUAUUCAGAGAAGCCUAGAUCAUCGAGAGAUUACAGGCCAACAGCAAAUUAACUCUCAGAUCUCAAAUUAGGCUGGAUUCCAGAUGCUGUGUGGGACAUCACUCUGUGGGAUGUCAUCUUCUUACAGACAUUCAGGUAAGGAAAGAGUGGGAAGAGGCUCGGCUGCUUGCUCUGGCUUGGGCUGGAGGGGGACGGGACCUCCUUUGCAGCCCACUGCAAACUGGAGGAAACUGGUUCCUCCAAUUUCUCCCCUUUCAAUUAGUGAUACAUCAGCUGUUGAAGACCCAUUUUUUUUGAGUGUACACACAGCUGCAAAUGGGUCAAGCCUUUUGGGGGGUGACAUAAGGCCUUUGGGGUGUGUGUCCUGCCUACAAACACCCCAAUGAUGUGCUCAGUGGGCAGGACAGCUGUGAUCUGGAUGUGCUCUGAAGACCUGCCUCACGCACCAAGGGGGCUGACGUGGGUCGUUCUUGCCCAGCACGACAGCGUAGCCCUGCCUAAUGCCUCUUCUCCCUUCUGCAAGAGCAGCAGAUUGGUGAAAACAAAGCUAUUUAUAGUCUGAUGUGUUUGGAGACAACAAGACCACAAGGCAUAUUAAAGUAGAGAGAAGGCCACUUGGCCCAUGCUGCUUUCCUUAUUAAAAUUCUCUCCUUGCUCCUACUCGUACAUCACCUCGGUUGGCUCCUUCCUCUGAAACGAUGAGCGCCAAUAAGCUGAUAUCGGAACACACGGAAAAGACUAAAGAGGAUGGCCUGCCCCAAGCUGAGAGUUUGGGGUUGUUAAUGAUGAUUUCCUCGCAGUAGAAACUUCAUGGUCAUUAGGUAUUCAGCACGGCGGAGGAGCCUACAUCUCAGAGCUUUCAGCAUUAAUAAUAUCGGGACCUAAAGUUUCCAGAACACGGGAACUUUCCACUGAGCACUGAAAAAGAUAAGAGAGGAAGGAAACUAAAAGGAGCUGUGAGGCGAAACGACAACGGCUGCGAGAGUCACUCAUCACCAUCAGAAAAGCUGUCAUGCAUCUGCGCCGGCACCUAUAGCAAGUGACUGGCAGCUGUGUUAAAGGUCAUGAAAGCUCUCUCACUGCACCCAGCUCACCACCACAUACGCAGAAGACCACAGAAAACAAGCAAACCCGACAAUUAUAUGCAUAUACACACACGCACAGAUGAGCAGAGAAGAAAAAGGCCAAAGUCUCUCUGAACGUUCGAGUAAUUGGGAAGUACACAAUACCCCUGGGUAACCACAUUUUUCUGAAAAUCUAUUACUGGAAAUCCUGUUUGCUAAACUUAACAGUCUGACAUGGGAUUCCUCACACACAUCACUGCAGGCAGGCGAACGUAUGAAUCCCUUUGAGGUCUUCAUAACGCUGUCAACAGAUAUCCCUGCGUUAACCUCCCUCCCGCACAGCUAUUUCCAGUCGUCGCCUCAGUCUGUAGACGCUAAGGGUAUAAUUUAUUUUAAUUAUUUGUUUUCAAGUUGAAUGGCUGCAGACUCUGAACAAGAAAUAUCAUUAGGCUUCAGCAUAUCAAAUAGCAUUGUAAAGAUGCUAUUCAUUUUAUAGGCAUGCUAAGGGAAUGUUAGCAUUUUCAUUUAAUUUAUUGAUACGUUGAACAUACUUAUUUAGAAAGAUAGCACACCAACAUAUAAAACAAUAAAAUGCAUUCUAUAACAUCGUGGCA